rnacentral:rRNA from 1 species
GGAAGUAAAAUCGUAACAAGGUUUCCGUAGGUGAACUGCGGAAGGAUCAUUGUCGAAUCCUGCAAAAGCAGAGCAACCCGCGAACGUGUUCAACUCACUGGAACGAGGCGGGGGCGACCGCGACAGCGGCGUCCCCCGUCCCGGGCCACCCUGGUGACUGGGGCUCAAGGCCCCAGCUCCCGAACAAACCCCCGGCGCGAGAAGCGCCAAGGAAUACUACACUGAGGGCCGGACCCGCCCCCUCCCGUUCGCGGGGCCCGGUGGCGGGACAAGGCUUCUUCCUGAAUCACAACGACUCUCGGCAACGGAUAUCUCGGCUCUCGCAUCGAUGAAGAGCGUAGCGAAAUGCGAUACUUGGUGUGAAUUGCAGAAUCCCGUGAACCAUCGAGUCUUUGAACGCAAGUUGCGCCCGAAGCCACCAGGCCGAGGGCACGUCUGCAUGGGCGUCACGCAUCGCGUCGCCCCCCCAACCCCGCGCCCCUCGUUGGGCGCCAGCGGGUGAGGGUGGGGCGGACAGUGGCCUCCCGUGCCCUGGGGCGCGGUUGGCCGAAAUACGAGUCCGGCUCGGCGGGCGUCACGGCAAGUGGUGGUUGAACAUUCAACUCGACGCUGCCGUGCGGCGACCCGGCGAGGUGCUGCGACUGGCUAGAGACCCUAGGCGCUUGCGGCCCCCCUCGUUGAGCGGGGGAGCAGUGGCCACGACCCGCGACCCCAUGUCAGGCGGGACCACCCGUGAGUUUAAGCAUAU